UACAGAGGGUGCGAGCGUUGUCCGGAAUUACUGGGCGUAAAGCGUGCGUAGGUGGUUUGUUAAGUCUGAUGUGAAAGCCCUGGGCUCAACCUGGGAAUGGCAUUGGAUACUGGCGAGCUAGAGUGCGGUAGAGGGUAGUGGAAUUCCCGGUGUAGCAGUGAAAUGCGUAGAGAUCGGGAGGAACAUCUGUGGCGAAGGCGACUACCUGGACCAGCACUGACACUGAGGCACGAAAGCUUGGGGAGCAAACAGG
rnacentral:rRNA from 1 species